UAGGGAAUCUUCCACAAUGGACGCAAGUCUGAUGGAGCAACGCCGCGUGAGUGAAGAAGGCUUUCGGGUCGUAAACUCUGUUAUUGAAGAAGAACGUGUGUGACAGUAACUGGUCAUGCAGUGACGGUAUUCAAUCAGAAAGUCACGGCUAACUACGUGCCAG
rnacentral:rRNA from 1 species